rnacentral:rRNA from 1 species
UACGUACGGGGCAAGCGUUGUCCGGAUUCAUUGGGCGUAAAGAGCGUGUAGGCGGCCAGGUAGGUCGGUUGUGAAAACUGGAGGCUCAACCUUCAGAGGUCGACCGAAACCAUCUGGCUAGAGUCCGGGAGAGGAGAGUGGAAUUCCUGGUGUAGCGGUGAAAUGCGCAGAUAUCAGGAGGAACACCAAUGGCGAAGGCAGAUCUCUGGGCCGUAACUGACGCUGAGGAGCGAAAGCAUGGGGAGCGAACAGG